AUGAGAGGAGAAUCCAAUGGUUUGCAAAAGCUAAUUCGUGACGAGUGUCCAUAUGCUUUCUUUGUUCAUUGUUUUGCUCAUCAGUUGCAAUUGGUGGUUGUCAUAGUGGCUCAGUGUUGUCCAGUUAUUGCUGAUUUUUUUAACUAUCUUCCCUUGAUAGUGACUCAAGUAGGUUCAUCUUGCAAAAGAAAAGAUGCAUUGCUUGCAAAGCAUCAUGACAACUUGAUAGAAUUGAUGGAGAAUGGUAAGAUAUCAUCUGGAACUGGUUUACAUCAAGAAACUAACCUUGCUAGACCAGGAGCUACUCAUUGGGGCUCACAUCUUAGAACCUUGCUUCGUAUCUACACAAUGUGGAAUGCAGUGGUGGAUGUGCUAGCAAUUGUGGUGGACGAUGCCCGAGAACACUCUUCUCAAGCAAAUAACUUUUGUGAGGAACAUGGCAUUGAGGUGCCAAAUAUGGAUGAUCUUGUUGGAGCUAUGGGGCAAUCUGUUCGUUCCAAGAAUAAGGUGACUCGACAUCAUUAUUUCAAGGUUAGCAUAUUCAAUGUUGCUAUUGAUGCAACUCUCACUGAGAUGAAUCAUCGAUUCAAUAAGCUAACACCGAGUUAG
rnacentral:rRNA from 1 species